rnacentral:rRNA from 1 species
UACGUAGGGUGCAAGCGUUAAUCGGAAUUACUGGGCGUAAAGCGUGCGCAGGCGGUUCGCUAAGACAGAUGUGAAAUCCCCGGGCUUAACCUGGGAACUGCAUUUGUGACUGGCGGGCUAGAGUAUGGCAGAGGGGGGUAGAAUUCCACGUGUAGCAGUGAAAUGCGUAGAUAUGUGGAGGAAUACCGAUGGCGAAGGCAGCCCCCUGGGAUAACACUGACGCUCAUGCGCGAAAGCGUGGGGAGCAAACAGG